UACGUAGGGUGCGAGCGUUGUCCGGAAUUAUUGGGCGUAAAGAGCUCGUAGGCGGUUUGUUGCGUCGGCCGUGAAAACUUGGGGCUUAACUCCGAGCUUGCGGUCGAUACGGGCAGACUUGAGUUCGGCAGGGGAGACUGGAAUUCCUGGUGUAGCGGUGGAAUGCGCAGAUAUCAGGAGGAACACCGGUGGCGAAGGCGGGUCUCUGGGCAGUAACUGACGCUGAGGAGCGAAAGCGUGGGGAGCGAACAGG
rnacentral:rRNA from 1 species